ACCAUUACUCUAGCUGGGCGAACGUGUGUAUCUCUACCUUGUGAAAGAAGAUUACAACAACAAAAGGUACGCACAACACUGGUCAUGUCACAGACACCUUGUGGGGGGUUCCGGAAGCUGCCAUUAAUCGUAAUAUGCCAUCCUUCGUACAGUAAAACAUUUUCUUUUCUUUGAUUCUUGGUGGCUGAAUGGUGGACUACUAUUGAGCAAUCGUUUCAACUAUGUAAAAAAGUGGGUCAAAUGGUUUGACAACCUCCUGGAUUUGCUGAAAACGUUUUGAGCUGCGCGUCAGCAACGAUAAUAAUCUGCACCGACGCUACACGGCAUAAAUACCGGAAUAUGUUAAGGGACAGCAUUCAGUUUUCACACAGCAGUUCGACGUUUCAUCAUGUUCAAGAAAAUCUGGAAAUCCUUGGCUAGAAUGUGCCGGAACAGAGGCAAUAACAAGAAAUCGUAUAACUAUCAAUCAGCUCAAACCGAUUAUCUAACAAUCCGUCACCGCAGCAAAGCGGAAAUCAAUCUAGUUAGCCUUGAUAAUGGACAAACAGAAUUUCGAACGCCGUUCACUACUCGAUUGGGGCGAAAGGUCAUCCACCUUCGUAAAUAAUGCAGCCGCGUUUUGCUGCGGGUCGUCUGACGUCUGGCUGAAAAGCAACCUGGAAUGUGAUAUCGUGUGACUUUUUGGUGUGGGAAUUAAAUCUUGGGGAUGCCUUGUUUGGUUUGCGGAAUCAAAAUUAUCUAUUGGUGCAUAGCUCUAUUUACAAACUACUCUAUUUUUCUACCGUUUGAAUAAAAAAUAUGAAUUACUACCGUGUACCAGCAUGUCGCCAUCUGUGUGAAUAAAAACAUAAUUUAACAACA